rnacentral:tRNA from 1 species
UCUAAGGAUGAAUGAAAAUAAAAUUUCAUUCUAAAUAAUAUACAUAGGUAAUGUUGACCGUCCUCAUUUCUCUUCUUAAAGUAAUGUUUCCUUCUUGUAGGGCCGGUAGCUCAGUUGGUUAGAGCACACCCUUGAUAAGGGUGGGGUCGAAAGUUCGAGUCUUUCUCGGCCCACCACACUUAACUGGGGGAUUAGCUCAGCUGGGAGAGCGCCUGAUUUGCAUUCAGGAGGUCAGCGGUUCGAUCCCGCUAUCCUCCACCAGGAAACAUUUAGCUAUGAAAAUUGUAAAUAAAUUUAAUAAUUAAUAUCAAUAUCUAUAUCCGAACAUUAGUAAUGUUAUUAGCUAAUGUUCAAAAUAAAAAUUUGAUCACAACAUAGACGAUUUUUCUUUUAAAAAAGAAUUUUUUUCUG